rnacentral:tRNA from 1 species
ACACACUUAUCUCAGUGGCCAGAGCACCCUUCUAGGGUUUGAGGUAAAAUAAAUCAUGGGUUCAAAUCCCAUAGUGCAUA